UACGUAGGGGGCAAGCGUUGUCCGGAUUUAUUGGGCGUAAAGAGCGUGUAGGCGGCUUUACAGGUCCGUUGUGAAAACUCGAGGCUCAACCUCGAGACGCCGGUGGAAACCGUAAAGCUAGAGUCCGGAAGAGGAGAGUGGAAUUCCUGGUGUAGCGGUGAAAUGCGCAGAUAUCAGGAGGAACACCCGUGGCGAAAGCGGCUCUCUGGGACGUUACUGACGCUGAGACGCGAAAGCGUGGGGAGCAAACAGG
rnacentral:rRNA from 1 species